rnacentral:rRNA from 1 species
UACGUAGGGGGCAAGCGUUGUCCGGAAUCAUUGGGCGUAAAGCGCGUGUAGGCGGCCUUGUAAGUCCGUUCUGAAAGCCCGGGGCUCAACCCCGGGAGGCGGAUGGAUACUGCAGGGCUCGAGUACGGAAGAGGCGAGUGGAAUUCCCGGUGUAGCGGUGAAAUGCGCAGAUAUCGGGAGGAACACCAAUGGCGAAGGCAGCUCGCUGGGACGUUACUGACGCUGAGACGCGAAAGCGUGGGGAGCAAACAGGG